CCUACGGGAGGCAGCAGUGAGGAAUAUUGGUCAAUGGGCGAGAGCCUGAACCAGCCAAGUCGCGUGAGGGAGUACUGCCCUAUGGGUUGUAAACCUCUUUUGUCGGGGAGCAAAAGCCGGACGUGUCCGGCUGUGAGAGUACCCGAAGAAAAAGCAUCGGCUAACUCCGUGCCAGCAGCCGCGGUAAUACGGAGGAUGCGAGCGUUAUCCGGAUUUAUUGGGUUUAAAGGGUGCGCAGGCGGAUUUUUAAGUCAGCGGUAAAAUCGUGGGGCUCAACCCCAUCCAGCCGUUGAAACUGGGGAUCUAGAGUGUGCGAGAGGUAUGCGGAAUGCGUGGUGUAGCGGUGAAAUGCAUAGAGAUCACGCAGAACCCCGAUUGCGAAGGCAGCAUACCGGUGCACAACUGACGCUCAGGCACGAAAGCGUGGGUAUCGAACAGGAUUAGAUACCCCAGUAGUC
rnacentral:rRNA from 1 species